GACGAACGCUGGCGGCGUGCUUAACACAUGCAAGUCGAACGGAAAGGCCCUGCUUUUGUGGGGUGCUCGAGUGGCGAACGGGUGAGUAACACGUGAGUAACCUGCCCUUGACUUUGGGAUAACUUCAGGAAACUGGGGCUACUACCGGAUAGGAGCUCCUGCUGCAUGGUUGGGGUUGGAAAGUUUCGGCGGUUGGGGAUGGACUCGCGGCUUAUCAGCUUGUUGGUGGGGUAGUGGCUUACCAAGGCUUUGACGGGUAGCCGGCCUGGGAGGGUGACCGGCCACAUUGGGACUGAGAUACGGCCCAGACUCCUACGGGAGGCAGCAGUGGGGAAUAUUGCACAACGGGCGGAAGCCGGAUGCAGCAACGCCGCGUGCGGGAUGACGGCCUGCGGGUUGUAAACCGCUUUCGCCUGUGACGAAGCGGGAGUGACGGUAAUGGGUAAAGAAGCACCGGCUAACUACGUG
rnacentral:rRNA from 1 species